rnacentral:rRNA from 1 species
GCACAAGCGGUGGAGCAUGUGGUUUAAUUCGACGCAACGCGAAGAACCUUACCUGGGUUUGACAUGUACCUGACCGCCGUGGAAACACGGUUUCCCUUCGGGGCAGGUUCACAGGUGGUGCAUGGCUGUCGUCAGCUCGUGUCGUGAGAUGUUGGGUUAAGUCCCGCAACGAGCGCAACCCCCGUCGCAUGUUGCCAGCAUUUAGUUGGGGACUCAUGCGAGACUGCCGGUGACAAACCGGAGGAAGGUGGGGAUGACGUCAAGUCAUCAUGCCCCUUAUGUCCAGGGCUACACACGUGCUACAUUGGCCGGUACAGAGGGCUGCGAUACCGCGAGGUGGAGCGAAUCCCUCAAAGCCGGUCUCAGUUCGGAUUGCAGGCUGAAACUCGCCUGCAUGGAGGCGGAGUUGCUAGUAAUCGCAGAUCAGCAAUGCUGCGGUGAAUACGUUCCCGGGC